rnacentral:lncRNA from 1 species
GGUUGUAAUCAGCUGGUAAUGUUUUGACAGUAAAAUGAACUUCUGUUGUAUGUUUUUAUACAUAAUUGAACAUUUUGAUAAGAUUUAAUAAAACUACAUAAUUUUGUGGUGUUGGGAAACUUAUUUCCCUCACCAGGAGAUUGUUGCAUACAUGUACGGGUGAUCACUUCCAGACAGAGGCAGUUACAAAUUCUGUACCGGAAUGAGGAUUAUUUAUAAGACUGAAAUUAUUGUAUUAUUUGCUGGAAAUGUGGAAUAUGAGGAAUUUAAAGCCAUCCGUGAGUAGUUUUUGAUGAUUCAACUGGACAAAUGCUGGAAAUCAUACAGUUUUCUCCCACCUUAAAACAGUACAUGGUAUAUCAUGGACACCAAAAGCAAAGAAAGAUCUAAAUGCCAUAAUUUUGGGCAUCUUGAAAACUGGAAAGGCGUAUCACUUUGAAGCAGAUGAUAGUUAUAGUGUAUAAAAGAAUUCUUUGCAACAGUUAUACCAGUUGGAACAGGUAAUAGUUUAAAUUAUGGAAGUUUAAAAUUACUUCUGGGAUAAAUUGAUACAAAAAGGCAUCAAUCAAAUCUGGGACUAUUAUACUACACAGCUACUUUUGCAUAGGUACUAUUUCUGUACUAAAAAUCUGUAGUACUAGAAAUUUACUUUUAAUAUUCAGUACUAUUUUAUCACUUUAAAAAAUAUUGUAAUAUUUAGGUACCUGUAUUUUACAGUACUUGAUUUGUACUUAAAAUUUAGGUACUACAAAUUUUAGGUUACUACCGUUACAUUUUCAGCAUUUUGAAAGUUUUUCUAUUUCACAUCUCUUAAAACUAUGAUUUUCAAACAUGGAAUAUUGUAUCAUUUCUGUACCAAAAUAUUUAGUACAAAUCAAGUACUGUAAAAUACAAGUACCAAAAUAUUACAAUAAUUUUAAAGUAAAUAAAUAGUACUGAAUAUUUAAAGUAAAUUUCCAGUACUACAUAUUUUUAGUACAGAAAUAGUACAUAUGCAAAAGUAGCUGUGUAGUAUAAAAAAAGUCCCAGAUCAAAGCAUUCAGAAGAUUAAAUGAAUUUUACUUAACAUGUCUUUAUUAAAUUGAAUUAGAAUUGAAUUAUUGUGUGAAUUUUCUAGACACAUUAUAUAUUGUUGUUUGAUGCUGCUUCAUUUUGAAAACUAGAAGUCAUUUACCAAUUACAAUGUUUUCCCAACUGACAAUCAUGAGGUCUGUUUAAUAAUCUCAAUAAAUCCCCCCUUUCCCCCAUAUUUUUAGUAACAAUGUGAAAUUAUUAUCUGAAAAUUUAUGAUCUGUGCUGAAUGCAAUUUUAUACAAUUUUAUUCAUCAUGUUCAAACAUUAUUAAUUUGAAUAGGAUAAUAAUAUAAAAUUAAAAAAAAAUAAAACUAUCAGACUCAAAAGUUACAAAAAAAAAGAAGAUGUGGUAAUACCACAGUGGUAUGAUCAUGAUGAUUGCCAAUGAGAAAAUCACAUGUACAUCUACAUGUAUCCUCCAUAUACACAACAGACCAUGUCACCUUAUUUAUUAUGUUUAUCAUGUUUAUCAUUAAUAUGUACAUGUAUAUGUACAUGUACCAAAAUGAAAGUACAUCAUGUACAUGUAAGCAACUACAAAUGAAUACAUUUGUAUAUAUACAUGUAGAAUAGAUACAUGUAUAAAAAAAGGGGUAUGAGUGUCCAAUGAUACAACUCUCCAUCCAAGUCACAACUUACAAUGACUUAUAAAAGUAAAGACAAUCAUACAGUUAUCAGGAUAGUCAUAUAUGUUUAUGUCAGAUAUACAUGUAAACAGGAAGCUUAAUUUGUUAAAAAGCAGGAGCAAAUUGUUGCUUUUUAAAUUAUGAGAGUCAAAUUUAAAUUUCUGUAAUUUUGAUUGCUACAUAUACAGUGUACCUAUAUUUUAUGACAUAUGAAAGACACACAUAUAUUGAAAAGUGGUUAUCAUGAUUACAUAUAUAUUUAUUUAUAAAAAUAAAACUUGUAUAUCAAAUCUUAAGAUAAUUAGAUUCUUAAUCCACUAUUUAGAUGGGAACUUUUGGGACAGCAAUACCUUUGUAUCAUAAAAUUGUUGUUUAUUGUCCUUCGUGUCCUUAGAAACUAAAUUAGACAUGUGAUAUAUACAUGAUACAAUUGCAAGGAUUUCAAACUUUUAACAUUUAGUUCAAAACUGAAAAAAAUAUUUUAAAAUUAGCACAUUUUGAGAUCUUGUCAUUAGAAUUUAGAUACAUUUGUACAUGUACAUGUGUGAUCCUGAAACGCAUAACAUAUAAGGUUAAUUUGACUCAAAUAUAUCAAGUAAACUUGUAAAGUAAUAAGUAAAUCACAAUUUACCUUUCUGCUCUAAAGUGUUCAUUUAGAUCAUUUUGUACAUUAACCUGUCCAUUUAAAAAUAGAAUUAAUCAUACAAAAAAGUCUUGUAACUUUGAAAGGUUGAAUAAGUUUUCUAUGUUUUAAUGUAGUAAGAUGCUAACAGAUCAUUAUAUAUUUUUGACCGGUUCUUAAGAUAAGAAAAUAAUUAAUUUGAUAUUAAAUACAAUUUCCAAAUUCAAUUCAAAGAAUAAUUGAUCACCUUAUAAUCUGUUUUUUUUUUAAACAGAUAAAAGAUACAUCAGAUGACAGAC